AUCCUUCCUGUGCCCUCUAAGAGCAAGCGGCUGCUGUCCCGCCACCCUCACUGGAUGCCAAGGCUCUGGGAAGCGGUGUUCGGACUUUCCCAUACCCCUUGUCACUGGUGCAGAGGACCAAUUGCACAGCUCAGCAUGGAACUAUGCUUACCUUUCCUAGAGUGCCAGGAAGUAGCCCCGCUGUACCCGCUGCUGGGCUCAGUGCCCCGGCACAAUGACUUCAAGCUGAAGGGGAUUCCCUCCCUUUCUCCCAAGUCCAGGGCCAGAGGGAUGGACACCUGCCCCACAAUGGCCCUUCCCCCCCAGGGGCCCUUUAUGUCCUUCCCACUGCUGUCAUUGAUGCUGGCUUAUACACCCCCACCCCCAGCACAUUAGUGGCUGUCCCCUCCAGUCCCUUGCUGAGCUCUCCCAGCCCGCUCAGGAGAAACUGGACCUUCUCCCUUUCCUGGUGACCUUCCCCAGUUUGUGGGAGGCAGAGGGGGCGACUUGUUCUCUUCUGCCUGGUAAUUAUCUUCCUUUAGUGUGGGGGAUGCCCAAGGCCUGGCUUCAGGCUGUGGGAGAGCAGAGGAGGAGCUGGAAGAGCAGCCUACAACAGCUGUCGGGAGGGACCAGGGCUAGUUCACACUUGGAAGCUGGGAUGCCAGGACCGGCCCUCCUGCCUCUCUCGGUCUCCAUCGGCCUCCUGGUCAGCUCACUCCACACUGAGACGAUUCUGAAGUAAGAUGCUCCUGGCUCCUCACAGACUCUGCUACAAGAGACAGAGUGAAGUGUCCCCAGGGCUCAGAGCCUUUGACUCUGCUCCUUCCCUUCCCACGGCUGAGUUGGCACAGGAGCACCUGGGUGAGCUGCACCAGACUUAAGAAGAUGAGGCCCCCGAUUCUGUUAGCUGCCCUCCUCUGGCUCCAGGACUCUUUGGCCCAGGAAGAUGUAUGCUCAUCCUUGGAUGGGAGCCCAGACAGGCAGGGUGAAGGUCCACCUCUGAGUGUGAACGUCAGCAGCCGCGGAAAGCCUACCAGCCUGUUUCUGAGCUGGGUAGCUGCAGAGCCAGGUGGAUUUGACUAAGCCCUCUGCCUCAGGGCUGUGAACUUGUCGGGUUUUCCAGAAGGGCAACAGCUCCAGGCUCACACCAACGAGUCCAGCUUUGAGUUCCAUGGCCUGGUGCCAGGGAGUCGCUACCAGCUGGAACUGACUGUCCUAAGACCCUGUUGGCAGAAUGUCACAAUUACCCUCACUGCUCGAACUGCCCCUACAGUGGUCCGUGGACUGCAACUGCAUAGCACUGGGAGCCCAGCCAGCCUGGAAGCCUCAUGGAGCGAUGCCUCUGGGGAUCAAGACAGCUAUCAACUUCUCCUCUACCACCCGGAAUCCCACACUCUGGCAUGUAAUGUCUCUGUGUCCCCUGACACCCUGUCUUACAAUUUUGGUGACCUCUUGCCAGGUAGUCAGUAUGUCUUGGAGGUUAUCACCUGGGCUGGCAGUCUCCAUGCGAAGACUAGCAUCCUCCAAUGGACAGAGCCUGUCCCUCCUGAUCACCUAACACUGCGUGCCUUGGGUACCAGUAGCCUGCAAGCCUUCUGGAACAGCUCUGAAGGGGCCACCUGGUUUCACCUGAUACUUACAGACCUCCUAGAGGGUACCAACCUGACCAAAGUGGUCAGACAAGGCGUCUCAACCUACACCUUCCUUCGCCUGUCUCCGGGUACACCUUACCAGCUGAAGAUCUGUGCUGCUGCUGGGCCCCACCAGAUUUGGGGACCCAAUGCCACUGAGUGGACCUAUCCCUCUUACCCAUCUGACCUGGUGCUGACCCCCUUAUGGAAUGAGCUCUGGGCAAGCUGGAAGGCAGGGCAGGGAGCCCGGGAUGGCUAUAUACUGAAGUUAAGUGGGCCAGUGGAGAAUACAACUACUCUGGGUCCUGAGGAGUGCAACGCUGUCUUCCCAGGGCCCCUGCCUCCAGGACACUACACUUUGGGGCUGAGGGUUCUAGCUGGACCUUAUGAUGCCUGGGUAGAGGGCAGUAUCUGGCUGGCUGAAUCUGCUGCUCGUCCCAUGGAGGUCCCUGGUGCCAGACUGUGGCUAGAAGGACUGGAAGCUACUAAGCAACCUGGGAGACGGGCGCUGCUCUAUUCUGCGGAUGCCCCAGGCCUCCUAGGGAACAUCUCUGUGUCUUCUGGUGCCACUCAUGUCACCUUCUGUGGCUUGGUACCCGGAGCGCACUACAGGGUGGACAUUGCCUCAUCCAUGGGAGACAUCACUCAGAGCCUCACAGGCUACACAAGUCCCCUGCCACCACAGUCUCUGGAGAUCAUCAGCCGGAACAGCCCAUCUGACCUGACUAUCAGUUGGGUUCCAGCGCCAGGGCAGAUGGAAGGUUAUAAGGUCACCUGGCAUCAGGAUGGCAGCCAGAGGUCACCUGGCGACCUUGUUGACUUGGGCCCUGACAUUUCGAGCCUGACUCUGAAAUCUCUGGUACCUGGUUCCUGCUACACCGUAUCAGCAUGGGCCUGGUCUGGGAACCUCAGCUCUGACUCUCAGAAGAUUCACAGUUGCACCCGUCCUGCUCCUCCCACCAACCUGAGCCUGGGCUUUGCCCACCAGCCUGCAACACUGAGGGCUUCCUGGUGUCACCCACCGGGUGGCAGGGAUGCCUUUCAGUUACGGCUUUACAGGCUGAGGCCCCUGACACUGGAAAGUGAGAAGAUCCUAUCCCAGGAGGCCCAGAACUUCUCCUGGGCCCAGCUGCCUGCAGGCUAUGAAUUCCAGGUACAGCUGUCUACCUUGUGGGGGUCGGAGGAGAGCGGCAGUGCCAACACCACAGGCUGGACACCCCCCUCAGCUCCUACAUUGGUAAAUGUGACCAGUGAAGCCCCCACCCAGCUCCACGUAUCCUGGGUCCACGCUGCUGGGGACCGGAGCAGCUACCAAGUGACCCUAUACCAGGAGAGCACUCGGACAGCCACCAGCAUUGUGGGGCCCAAGGCAGACAGCACAAGCUUUUGGGGUUUGACUCCUGGCACUAAGUACAAGGUGGAAGCCAUCUCCUGGGCUGGGCCCCUUUACACUGCAGCAGCCAACGUUUCUGCUUGGACCUACCCACUCACACCCAAUGAGCUGCUCGCCUCUAUGCAGGCAGGCAGUGCUGUGGUUAACCUGGCCUGGCCCAGUGGUCCCUUGGGGCAAGGGACAUGCCAUGCCCAACUCUCAGAUGCUGGACACCUUUCAUGGGAGCAACCGCUGUCGCUAGGCCAAGACCUCCUCAUGCUAAGGAACCUCACACCAGGACAUACGGUUUCAUUGUCUGUGAAGUGUCGGGCAGGACCACUCCAGGCCUCCACUCACCCCGUGGUGCUGUCUGUAGAGCCUGGCCCUGUGGAAGAUGUGUUCUGUCAACCUGAGGCCACCUACCUGUCCCUGAACUGGACGAUGCCUACUGGAGAUGUGGCUGUCUGUCUGGUGGAGGUAGAGCAGCUGGUGCCAGGAGGGAGCGCUCAUUUUGUCUUCCAGGUCAACACCUCGGAGGAUGCACUUCUGCUGCCCAACUUGACGCCCACCACUUCUUACCGCCUUAGCCUCACUGUGCUGGGUGGGAAUCGCCAGUGGAGCCGGGUGGUUACCCUGGUGUGCACUACUUCUGCUGAGGUUUGGCACCCCCCAGAGCUAGCUGAGGCCCCCCAGGUGGAGCUGGGGACAGGGAUGGGUGUGACAGUCACACGUGGCAUGUUUGGUAAAGAUGACGGGCAGAUCCAGUGAUAUGGCAUAAUUGCCACCAUCAACAUGACAUUGGCCCAGCCUUCCCAGGAAGCCAUCAACCACACAUGGUAUGACCACUACUAUAGAGGACAUGACUCCUACCUGGCUCUCCUGUUCCCAAAUCCCUUCUACCCAGAGCCUUGGGCUGUGCCAAGAUCCUGGACAGUACCUGUGGGUACAGAGGACUGUGACAACACCCAGGAGAUAUGCAAUGGGCAUCUCAAGCCAGGCUUCCAGUAUAGGUUCAGCAUUGCAGCCUUUAGUAGGCUCAGCUCUCCAGAGACCAUCCUGGCCUUCUCCGCCUUCUCAGAGCCUCAGGCUAGCAUCUCUCUGGUGGCCAUGCCCCUGACAGUUAUGAUGGGGACUGUGGUGGGCUGCAUCAUCAUUGUGUGUGCAGUGCUAUGCUUGUUGUGCCGGCGGCGCCUGAAGGGACCAAGGUCAGAGAAGAAUGGCUUUUCCCAGGAGUUGAUGCCUUACAACCUGUGGCCGACCCAUCGGCCCAUCCCCAGCCAUAGCUUCCGGCAGAGCUAUGAGGCCAAGAGUGCACGUGCACACCAGGCCUUCUUCCAGGAAUUUGAGGAGCUGAAGGAGGUGGGCAAGGACCAGCCCAGACUAGAGGCUGAGCAUCCUGCCAACAUCACCAAGAACCGGUACCCACACGUGCUACCUUAUGACCACUCCAGGGUCAGGCUGACCCAGCUAUCAGGAGAGCCUCAUUCUGACUACAUCAAUGCCAACUUCAUCCCAGGCUAUAGCCACCCACAGGAGAUCAUUGCCACCCAGGGGCCUCUCAAAAAGACGCUCGAGGACUUCUGGCGGUUGGUGUGGGAGCAGCAAGUCCACGUGAUCAUCAUGCUAACUGUGGGCAUGGAGAAUGGGCGGGUACUGUGUGAGCACUACUGGCCAGUCAACUCCACGCCUGUCACCCACGGUCACAUCACCACCCACCUCCUGGCAGAGGAAUCUGAGGAUGAGUGGACCAGGAGGGAAUUCCAGCUGCAGCACGGUGCAGAGCAAAAACAGAGGCACGUGAAGCAGCUGCAGUUCACGACCUGGCCAGACCACAGUGUCCCCGAGGCUCCCAGCUCUCUGCUUGCUUUUGUGGAACUGGUGCAGGAGGAGGUGAAGGCAACUCAGGGCAAGGGGCCCAUCCUGGUGCAUUGCAGUGCGGGUGUGGGCAGGACAGGCACCUUUGUGGCUCUCUUACGCCUGUUGCGACAACUAGAGGAAGAACAGGUGGUCGAUGUGUUCAACACUGUGUACAUACUCCGGCUGCACCGGCCCCUCAUGAUCCAGACCUUGAGUCAAUACAUCUUCCUGCACAGCUGCCUGCUGAACAAGAUUCUGGAAGGGCCCUCUGACGCCUCAGACUCCGGCCCCAUCCCUGUGAUGAAUUUUGCACAAGCUUGUGCCAAGAGGGCAGCCAAUGCCAAUGCCGGUUUCUUGAAGGAGUACAGGCUCCUGAAGCAGGCCAUCAAGGAUGAGACUGGCUCUCUGCUGCCCUCUCCUGACUAUAAUCAGAACAGCAUCGCCUCCUGUCAUCAUUCUCAGGAGCAGUUGGCCCUGGUGGAGGAGAGCCCAGCUGAUAACAUGCUGGCAGCCUCACUCUUCCCUGGUGGGCCGUCUGGUCGCGACCAUGUGGUGCUGACUGGCUCGGCCGGACCAAAGGAACUCUGGGAAAUGGUGUGGGAACAUGGCGCCUAUGUGCUUGUCUCCCUGGGUCUGCCUGAUACCAAGGAGAAGCCACAAGACAUCUGGCCAAUGGAGAUGCAGCCUAUUGUCACAGACAUGGUGACAGUGCACAGAGUGGCUGAGAGCAACACAGCUGGCUGGCCCAGUACCCUCAUCAGAGUUAUACAUGGGGACAGUGGGACGGAAAGGCAGGUUCAAUGCCUGCAGUUUCCACACUGCCAGACUGGGAGUGAGCUCCCAGCUAACACCCUACUGACCUUCCUUGAUGCUGUGGGCCAGUGCUGCUCCCGGGGCAAUAGCAAGAAGCCAGGGACCCUGCUCAGUCACUCCAGCAAGGUCACAUACCAGCUGGGCACCUUCUUGGCUAUGGAACAGCUGCUACAGCAAGCAGGGACCGAGCGCACAGUGGAUGUCUUCAGUGUGGCCCUGAAGCAGACACAGGCCUGUGGCCUUAAGACCCCAACGCUGGAGCAGUAUAUCUACCUCUACAACUGUCUGAACAGCGCAUUGAGGAACAGGCUGCCCCGAGCUAGGAAGUGACCUGUGCCCUGCUAGGCAUCACGUUCCAGCAAAUCCACCCAGGCCUGGCUUCCCCAGGAGAACAGAUCUAUCGGCCUCACGCUGUCAAAGGGCAGAGUCUGGGAAUAAAGAGACAUGGUCAAACUC
ensembl:processed_transcript Ptprv protein tyrosine phosphatase, receptor type, V